ensembl:processed_transcript RIKEN cDNA 2610035F20 gene
AAACCCUAGGCAGCAGCCCCUGAGGGGCAGUUUAGACGUCAUAUAAAGACAGUGUCUCCCUCCGGGUGGAUACCUCCUGACCCGGUCCACAGCCACAUUGGUUCUAAAAGUGGAAUGUCCAGAAUCAAGCAAGGUUUAGGCCUUAAUUUGGCUGUUGCCGUAUCAGAAUCAGGGCCUCAGAAAAAUAAACUGUGGGGCUUACGGUAAGUGUCACUCUUUGGUGAAGUCACCGCAAAGCUUGACAAGCGCCGCCCUCGAACCCAGGCUGGCUUCCCACUAAGAAUAUCGCUGUCCCACGGCCCUCAGAUUGGCCUGAGAACUGCUUUUAUUCAUAAAUCUUGGAAACUGAGAUAAAAUUCGCACAAGAGAAUAACAACAUACUUCGAAAUUUAUAUUGAAAUGAAAUCACCAAAAACGCUGGAAGAAGACUCUUGUUGAGAUUUGCUGCAAUGAAUAUGAGCUCCUGCCUGAUCCAACAACCUCUCAAACCUUAGGGCAAAACCUGCACUGGGCAAAACCUCAGAUUGUGGCUGAGAAGGAUAUCCGCCACAGGGCUCCUGGCAAGGGUACAUUUCCCAUAGAGUGAAGAGAACCAAGGCUUGAUCAAAAAAUUCGUGGUGUGUUUACAAAAAGAAAAAUAAGGGAUGAGGCAAAGCAAAUCCCACAAACAUCCCAGCAAUCAUGGGCAAAUCCUUUUGAAUGGUGUCUACUGUGUGUGAUCUCUUAUAGCAUGAUGUGCACAUACAUACAGAAGAAUAAAUGCAUUGCACUUCACCCACUGUGUUCUCACACACAAAGGUAUACAUUGUGGGAAAGGAGACACCAAAUACAAACAACUUGGCUAUCCACUGAAUAUAUUAUUGUGACUCUUGGCCCCAGUAACACUCCAAUUUUUUUCCCUUAAAGAAAGGUGUAAAAAUGGGGGAGAGAAGCUGUGAAGAUGAGUAUGUAAUACAUUGUAGCUUAGGCCAAAAUAAUAAUUAACAUAAUAAUAAUUUCCUUUUCUACAAGAGUUCUAGCACCACCACCAUCUAUAUCAGAGGCAAAAAUCCAACAAGAUAAUCAACAGGAUAUUAAGUUGGGGGUUACUUUUGAUUUCAGCUAUUACUGAGUUGGGUGACCCCUGAUACAUGAAAGACCACAUGUAUACUCUAGGAAGCCCCCUCUAUAAAACCCACAUAGAACAAAAGCCUUUUGUCAUGACUUUAGAAAGGUAUAAUGUAAGAGGAGAGGAAGUUGUGAAAAUCCUAGCCAAAGCUGUAACUGUUAAAUAACAUUAGGAAGGAGGCUAUGAGAAGAUCUCAUAAGAUAAAGCUCUCCCAUGGCUUUGUAUCUUUUCUCUUUAUAAUUAAACUCUGUGGUUGAGCUAAUUAAAAAAAAAAAAACCUCAAUAUAAAAUAUGUGCCCACCAGUAGUUUAUUAACAGGGAUGAAAAUACUUUUGUACUUGUCAGAAAGGGGGAGAAGAAGCUGGAAGAACCCAGCCCACCCCCACCCUCCCAUACUGGGUGACAGAAUUGUGAUUUUGGAAAAAGAAAACUAAUUUUCCUUGCCUCGUCUCCUCUUUUUUUGAUAGGAAUGUUUUCAAUGUUAAAAAACAAAACAAAACAAAACAAAAAAAAAAAACAGCCAAAACAACAAUAAAAAGAAUCAACACGCCCCCUUCCCCCAAAAUCCAGGAGGCUCUAGCUUAUGGGAACAGGAAUGUAUUUAAUUAGUUCAAAGAUUGUUACCUUUGGGCUUGUGGGCAAACCUAGGGAUUGAAUACCGUCUACAAAGGAGCAGCUUUCCAAUAAAGUGCAGCAUUAUUGCAGUAGACUUUGUAAUACAAUUUAUGCUGUCAUUCAUAAAUAAUAAUGCCAUAUGUCAACCAUAUUGCUUACACAAGUAAAAGCAUCAAUGUGUCAC